rnacentral:misc_RNA from 1 species
AGAAAUGUUUGAGGCCUAAUAGCGUGAAGAGGCCUAUGAUGCAUGAUGUGUUGUGGGACUUGGAAUUUGCAUUGCGGCUUCAGCAAACUUCAAAGCACACAGAUAUAGAUGAUGACAGCAUGAACAGUGCACCUAUGGAACUGGCAUUUCAAAUUGUAGAUCACCUUCCAUCUCAUAGAGUACCAGCUGAAGAAGACGAUUCAUU